CCUCAACUCACUGAGCAAGGCCAGGGAUCAAACCCUCAACCUCAUGGUUCCUAGUCAGAUUUGUUAACCACUGAGCCGUGAUGGGAGCUCCUGAAUCAUUCUUUUUUAAAAAAGGACAGCUAUCCCUUUGCCCCACCCAUCCCCCAAGAGCAAAUCUGUACUGGGCACCUACUGUGUGCCAGAUGCCACACUGAUUUCCAGGGGUACGGUUUUUCCCUGCCCUCCCAGAGAAACCUGCUGUUUGUAACACACAGUGUGCUUAGGAAAUGUGGUGUAAGGGAGUAGUAUAGGGUCGUCUGAAAACAGAAGAAUUCAAUUUAGAUCAAGGGGAUCUAAGGAUCAAGGUCAAAGUUUUGCCUAAUGGAUGAAUAGAAAUUUGACAGGCGAAGAUGAGAACAGAUGUCCGUGUCUGCAAAGGACUGAGGCAGGAACACAGUGAACAGAGGCCCAGUGAAGACAAAACCCUGCUCCUCUACUGGGCCUUGCAAAGUGCUCGGUGAAUGCAAGCAGCACCUCUCCAGGGGCUCAGCAUUACUCAUCUUUUCUGCCUUUCGAGGAUUCUCAAGACUAGAGCAUCCUUGCUUCUGGGUGUCUGUUUCCCCAGGAACUCAGGAGCAGCAUCCAUCAGCGUAAGCCUGCCAACCCAGAUGUGCCCUCUUUACCUGCAAAUCUCAGUUGACCCCUCCUUUCACCAACAUUCCCAGAUUGCAGGCAAGCUCAACACUGGGUGAUGGGGGCAGGGGAGGUAGGGGAAGGGGAGAGUGGGAAGGGUCUUUCCUGCCCCUAGAGCUCACUCCUGAUCUGUUAAUCAUGAUUUUGGAUGACCUGCUGUGUGGUCACUCAAGAUGGCUCUUCCCUCGCUCUCUGUACAUCAUCUGCCAGACCAGCGCCUGCUUCACCCACACCUACGUCCAUGACCUUCCUGCAUGCUCACCCUAAGCCCCAGCUGGUGGUGUUCUGAUCCAAGGGGCAGUGAGAGGCCUCCCCUCCGCUGGUUUCCCAGGAAACAUUUCUCUGCUCCAAACGCAGACAUUUUGAUUGACAAGCCAGCCAGGAGCCCGUGCCUGUGGCAGGUCGACUUUGACUGGAGGUAGCUUCGUCCCUAGGUCCCCAGAGGCUGCCAGGGCCCGUUUGCCCUCCGGGACCCCUGAGAAGAAACCUCCUGACUUACGGUCGGCCUUCUUGCAUUGGGGUGCAUAUUUGUCUGGGGCAAAUGUCAAGUCAAUGAGGAUCAGAGAUGUAAGAAAGAAG